rnacentral:rRNA from 1 species
CCUACGGGGCGCAGCAGUAGGGAAUAUUGCUCAAUGGGGGAAACCCUGAAGCAGCAACGCCGCGUGGAGGAUGAAGGUUUUCGGAUUGUAAACUCCUUUUGUUAGAGAAGAUAAUGACGGUAUCUAACGAAUAAGCACCGGCUAACUCCGUGCCAGCAGCCGCGGUAAUACGGAGGGUGCAAGCGUUACUCGGAAUCACUGGGCGUAAAGAGCGCGUAGGCGGGAUAGCAAGUCAGAUGUGAAAUCCUAGGGCUUAACCAUAGAACUGCAUUUGAAACUGUUAUUCUAGAGUAUGGGAGAGGUAGGUGGAAUUCUUGGUGUAGGGGUAAAAUCCGUAGAGAUCAAGAGGAAUACUCAUUGCGAAGGCGACCUGCUAGAACAUAACUGACGCUGAUGCGCGAAAGCGUGGGGAGCAAACAGGAUUAGAUACCCGGGUAGUC